UCAACCACAAAAUUCGUUUCAUCCAUCCAGACGCUCCACCUUUCUCUACAAACCCUAACCCUAACCUUCAUUUCAUCCAUCGAUCCUCCACCGCUCCUCCAUCGAACCGGUCGUCGCCAUCACCGUCUUCUCCUCUUCUCCACUCCAACAGUCGCUUCAUGGCUUCUUUCCCGGUGGCUUCAAGAUCCGACACUAUCUCAGCAGAUUCGACAGCAGAUCCGACACCAGAUCGAUUUCUACGGCUUCUUUCCUAGUGGCUUCAAGAUCCGAUACUAUCUUAGUAGAUCCGACACCAGAUCUACUGGUUUGACUAUCUUCCGUUUGGUUGUGGGUUCGUCAACGAUGGUGCUUGUGGGUGGAAGAUCUGGCCAGAUCUAUGGUUUAUUUGUAGUAGAUUUCUCUCUAGAAUAGCACAACAAGCACUCUGUUCUUUGGUUUCGAACAGUGCGAGGUUAUGGCGUCUGCAAAUGCUAAGCUGGAGCGACUGCUUAAGGAGACAGGGAAUGAGGUUUUGUUGUGGUUCGAUGAUGUUAGAAGGAGGUUUUCAGGUCCUUUUUGCUUUGUAGAGGUAGGUUUAUCCGGAUAGAUCUUAGGGUGUGUUGAAAUUAAUUUGAUUAUUUGCUCGAUCAAGGACUGACAAGUAGCAAAAAAAGAAGAGUGAAAAAAAAUCCCGUGUUUCUGUUUCACCGGGGAGAGAGACAGAGACGACGACAGCGGCAACGCUGUUGCAAGUGAAGUUCAACGAUGUCUCCGAUUUGAUACUUAAUCGACGGUUUUUAACGGGUACGCCUAAACUUCCGAAGUGCAACCUUGGUUUAAAAAAGUGCGCAUGAGUCACACCUAGGCGCGACGCACACUGAGGCGCAAAUCUGAGCGCCUUAUGUAGUCUGAGGUGUUUUGACCCGUUUGGGAUUAAACACGCUUCAAAUAUACACAUUUACAUGUGACCAGGUCAAGCUUUUGACUUAUUAUGUAAUAGUUUUAUUUGCAGCCACACAGUAUAUUGUUAUUUGAUGAUUAAAUAUUAUAUGUGCGAUCUAAAGUGCUUGAUAUAACACUGAUUGCAGAGUUUGUAGCUAUGGUAAAAGCGAGAUGUGAGCUGUAUGGAAAGCCCGCUUCUUUUACGUUAAGGAAGACCAUGUGUCGCUAUAUGAUUUUGACGCCUCCAUGGCGGGAUUUUAGUUUUUUUUUUCUGUCUUAACACAAAUAGCGGGAUUUUAGUUAAUUUUUUUUGUUAAAUAUACAUAUAAAACAGCGUAUUUGGUUUCCAAAUGGUUUUUAAGGUUCAUUUUUUAGUUUAUUAGACAAAUCACAUAAGAGAAUUGCCAUCUGUUUGUUGUGUAUCAAACUGAUAGCUGCUUUCGUUUGUUACAGUUUUACCCACGAACAACGGUGUUUGUGGUAGCCGGCGAUCACGAUGGUGGUGUUUUGUGGCGAUUAAGCAGCGGCAACAACGGUGGCUAGCGGCCGUAGACACUCUCCGACGUUAUCUGUACCCGAAUCAGCGCUGACGGUUCAAGGGUUUUAAGGCUAGAUUAGCUGCAGAUGCGAUUCCGGUCCAAUUUAUCUUCUGGUGAACAUGAUGCUGGCUAAGAGGUUCAGGAAGAACUUAUUAGAUCCAGAAAUUAUGAAGAUGAAGAUUAGAACAUGUUCCACAUAGUGGGUUUUGCUUCUUAGCAUUGGUUAGGUAGCGAAUGUGGGCUAAGUGUCUUCAAGCGAAUGGGAGUAGGGCUAAGUGUCUUCAAGCGAAUGUGGAACUACCCACAAACUGAAUAUGGAAUUAAGUUGACCCGGAUUAAUAUUUGAAUCAGCUGUCUUUUCCCACGUAUGCCUUCCAGUAUAACCCUUCAGAGAGGUGAGGAUGUCAUAUCAAUUGGCCACACAGUCUGCUCAUUCCGCACGACAUUACAAGUUGUUAGUUCAGACUGAGUAGCUUAUUCAAAAAGAAGCUGCAGAAGAUACAUAAUUUAUAAGCCAAUUGGAGAUCCAGUGGACCAGGCCUCAGGCUAAUACUCUUACAAAAGCAAGCUGCAGAUAGUGAUGCUGAAAUCUAAUGUUCUAGAGCCGUCAUGCAAGUUUUUUUUGUUAUCAUUUGUGAUUUAUUUUUUUCUAAAUGGUUGACCAUUUUUGUAUGGUUAGUUUGUGUUCACUUGAAACACUUUGUCCAACUGUUUUAGUUAUAUUUUAUUUUUUAGAUUAAAUGAUUUGGGAGAGAUCUAUGUACUAAAGAUAUACUCUGGGCGCGACUAUAGGCCUCUAUGUGACCCAUUUCAUUCAAGCUUGCUUUUA